ACACAUGCAAGUCGAACGAGAGAGAAGGAGCUUGCUUCUUCGAUUGAGUGGCGAACGGGUGAGUAACGCGUGAGGAACCUGCCUCAAAGAGGGGGACAACAGUUGGAAACGACUGCUAAUACCGCAUAAGCCCACGGGUCGGCAUCGACCUGAGGGAAAAGGAGCAAUCCGCUUUGAGAUGGCCUCGCGUCCGAUUAGCUAGUUGGUGAGGUAACGGCCCACCAAGGCGACGAUCGGUAGCCGGACUGAGAGGUUGAACGGCCACAUUGGGACUGAGACACGGCCCAGACUCCUACGGGAGGCAGCAGUGGGGAAUAUUGCACAAUGGGGGAAACCCUGAUGCAGCGACGCCGCGUGGAGGAAGAAGGUCUUCGGAUUGUAAACUCCUGUUGUUGAGGAAGAUAAUGACGGUACUCAACAAGGAAGUGACGGCUAACUACGUGCCAGCAGCCGCGGUAAAACGUAGGUCACAAGCGUUGUCCGGAAUUACUGGGUGUAAAGGGAGCGCAGGCGGGAAGACAAGUUGGAAGUGAAAUCUAUGGGCUCAACCCAUAAACUGCUUUCAAAACUGUUUUUCUUGAGUAGUGCAGAGGUAGGCGGAAUUCCCGGUGUAGCGGUGGAAUGCGUAGAUAUCGGGAGGAACACCAGUGGCGAAGGCGGCCUACUGGGCACCAACUGACGCUGAGGCUCGAAAGUGUGGGUAGCAAACAGGAUUAGAUACCCUGGUAGUCCACACCGUAAACGAUGAUUACUAGGUGUUGGAGGAUUGACCCCUUCAGUGCCGCAGUUAACACAAUAAGUAAUCCACCUGGGGAGUACGACCGCAAGGUUGAAACUCAA
rnacentral:rRNA from 1 species